rnacentral:rRNA from 1 species
GACGAACGCUGGCGGCGUGCUUAACACAUGCAAGUCGAACGGAAAGGCCCUGCUUUUGUGGGGUGCUCGAUUGGCGAACGGGUGAGUAACACGUGAGUAACCUGCCCUUGACUUUGGGAUAACUUCAGGAAACUGGGGCUAAUACCGGAUAGGAUCUCCUGCUGCAUGGUGGGGGUUGGAAAGUUUCGGCGGUUGGGGAUGGACUCGCGGCUUAUCAGCUUGUUGGUGAGGUAGUGGCUUACCAAGGGUUUGACGGGUAGCCGGCCUGAGAGGGUGACCGGCCACAUUGGGACUGAGAUACGGCCCAGACUCCUACGGGAGGCAGCAGUGGGGAAUAUUGCACAAUGGGCGGAAGCCUGAGGCAGCAACGCCGCGUGCGGGAUGACGGGCUUCGGGUUGUAAACCGCUGUCGCCUGUGACGAAGCGUGAGUGACGGUAAUGGGUAAAGAAGCACCGGCUAACUACGUG